rnacentral:rRNA from 1 species
AGUGAACGCUGGCGGUAGGCCUAACACAUGCAAGUCGAACGGCAGCACAGUAAGAGCUUGCUCUUACGGGUGGCGAGUGGCGGACGGGUGAGGAAUACAUCGGAAUCUACUUUUUCGUGGGGGAUAACGUAGGGAAACUUACGCUAAUACCGCAUACGACCUACGGGUGAAAGCAGGGGAUCUUCGGACCUUGCGCGAUUGAAUGAGGCGAUGUCGGAUUAGCUAGUUGGCGGGGUAAAGGCCCACCAAGGCGACGAUGCGUAGCUGGUCUGAGAGGAUGAUCAGCCACACUGGAACUGAGACACGGUCCAGACUCCUACGGGAGGCAGCAGUGGGGAAUAUUGGACAAUGGGCGCAAGCCUGAUCCAGCCAUACCGCGUGGGUGAAGAAGGCCUUCGGGUUGUAAAGCCCUUUUGUUGGGAAAGAAAAGCAGCAGGUUAAUACCCCGCUGUUCUGACGGUACCCAAAGAAUAAGCACCGGCUAACUUCGUG